rnacentral:rRNA from 1 species
UACGUACGAGGCGAGCGUUAUCCGGAAUUACUGGGCGUAAAGCGCGCGCAGGUGGCUUGGUAAGUGAGAUGUGAAAUCUCCCGGCCUAACUGGGAGGGGACAUUUCAGACUGGCAGGCUUGAGGACAGCAGAGGUAGGUGGAAUUCCUGGUGUAGCGGUGAAAUGCGUAGAGAUGUGGAGGAACACCGAUGGCGAAGGCAGCCUUCUGGGCCAAUACUGACGCUCAUGCACGAAAGCGUGGGGAGCAAACAGG